rnacentral:rRNA from 1 species
CGUACACUCCUGCGGGAGGCAGCAGUGGGGAAUAUUGGACAAUGGGCGCAAGCCUGAUCCAGCCAUGCCGCGUGAGUGAUGAAGGCCCUAGGGUUGUAAAGCUCUUUCACCGGUGAAGAUAAUGACGGUAACCGGAGAAGAAGCCCCGGCUAACUUCGUGCCAGCAGCCGCGGUAAUACGAAGGGGGCUAGCGUUGUUCGGAUUUACUGGGCGUAAAGCGCACGUAGGCGGACUAUUAAGUCAGGGGUGAAAUCCCGGGGCUCAACCCCGGAACUGCCUUUGAUACUGGUAGUCUUGAGUUCGAGAGAGGUGAGUGGAAUUCCGAGUGUAGAGGUGAAAUUCGUAGAUAUUCGGAGGAACACCAGUGGCGAAGGCGGCUCACUGGCUCGAUACUGACGCUGAGGUGCGAAAGCGUGGGGAGCAAACAGGAUUAGAAACCCUAGUAGUCCCA